UACGGGGGGGGCAAGCGUUGUUCGGAAUUACUGGGCGUAAAGGGCUGGUAGGCGGCCAACUAAGUCGGAUGUGAAAUCCCCAGGCUUAACCUGGGAACUGCAUCCGAUACUGGUCGGCUUGAAUCCGGGAGAGAGAUGCAGAAUUCCAGGUGUAGCGGUGAAAUGCGUAGAUAUCUGGAGGAACACCGGUGGCGAAGGCGGCAUCCUGGACCAACACUGACACUGAGGAGCGAAAGCCAGGGGAGCAAACGGG
rnacentral:rRNA from 1 species